ACGAGGGAGGAGCUUACACCCUGGUUGGAGGAUGAGGAGGCGUUUGCGCGGGGAGCCCCAUCUGGGGAAGGCAGUCUUUCAGGUGGGGUCUCUCCUUGAGUCUGGAGCUCACCAGUAGGCUAGACUGGUUGAUCAGUAAGCUCCAAGCAUCCACCCAUCUCCAUCUGCAAAUGUUGGAGCCACAGGCAUGAACCAUACCUAACUGGGCAAAAUGUAAAGUUUUACAAGGAAGAAGUUGAUUAGGAAACACUGAAUGGCACCAACUCUGAGAGUUAUUCCUGAGAUGUUACUGCAAAUCACACUGAAGGGGAUCAGAAAAGUUUGAGGGGAAGCCUGCCGAAACCAGAGGACAAUUUCCAGAGCCAAGUUACGGAAUGCUGCCCCACUGGCCACUCUCAUCAGGGACUUGAUAAAGACAUGGAAGGAAGACAAGCUUAUC